ensembl:lncRNA
GUGUUGGAAAGUACCUGUAUGGGAGGCAGAGGCAGAAAUUCGACAAAAGACGUCAUGCUGCUGGUGUUAACUCCCAAGCCUACAUAGGUGCAACGUCUGCUGUCCAGAUCACAACAUGAUAAGGGAGAGGAAGGAGAACUGCGCAGUCACAGCAGCUGCAUCUAGCUCUGAACAUUGCCUAGCUCUUGCGACCUGCCCCUUGUGUAGUCACUGUUGCCAGCUGGUAACAGGAACGGUGAGGGAAUAUGCAUACGCUCUGAAAGAAAGUGAAGACUCGCUCCUGCUCUGGCUUGGCUGUGCAAACAUCGUGGCAGAGGCAAACUAUUCUGAAGAAAGAAAUCAACCGACGCAUUCAGUCUGGAGGAAUCCCCCAGGGUACCAGUGGGAUGCAUUAACAGUGCAUUUCUCCGGUGAGAUGUGAUGGGAAGAGCAUAGAGCAAAAAGAAG